UUCAAUUUGGUAAGUACCAAGGUACAAAUAAACCGAAAAAAGAAGCGAAAACUUUACUUCUGAUACCUCCAACAGCAUCGAAUGUUGACUGCAAAACGAAUAUGCAUCCAUGGAUCGGGAUCUUUCUUCGGAAGCCAUUUUCUGUUGCCAACACCAUACCCAAAAUUCUGCGGCAAGUAAUUGAAAAUGCUUGAGAACAAAAUUAAGAGACCUCAUAAGACCGAACUGCCGGAUGGUGAAAUAUGUAAUAUUCAGCGGGGUCUCAAAACUCCUGAAGCCUCGGACUAUGUAGGAAUUGCACACCGGGUCUCAGAAGACGGAGAAAUAUUGAUUAAUAAAUAACGUCAAGACUUUCGACAUCAGGUAAGCAGUUACUUUUGAAUGAAAUAUAGUAAAUAACAAUUUAUUUUUAUUUUUAAGGAUUGUUAAUUGAUAGACCUUGACUCAUUAUGUUGGUGGAUCUUGGACUUGGAAAAAAUGGUUCACUGGUGUUGACAAGCAGCAAGUACAGUAAGUACCCUUUCAUUUUCUAUUUUUUCAUUGGUCUAUACUUUAAAUUGAGGUUCUAAGAGCACCUGUAUCCGUGGUCCAAACAGCCGGUUUAGACCCAAAUUCCGACCCGAGCAACCGCACUGGUGAUCUGUUAUACCAGUUUCAAUCCAACUUUUUUUAGAGCUGGUAUAAGGAUUGAUCCAAAACUGAUGAGAUUUGGAUCCAAUUUGACGCAGUUCUAAACCGUUUGACAGUUGAUGGAACACGAGUGCAGUUGCCAGUAUUUUCAUUGGAUCGGAUCUAAUUUCUUUGGUUCAAUUCUUGUAUAAAUUAGACCCAAGAAUUGACCACGAAUACAGAUGCCUUAAGAGCACCUGUAUCCGUGGUCCAAACAGCCGGUUUAGACCCAAAUUCCGACCCGAGCAACCACACUGGUGAUCCAUUAUACCAGUUUCAACUCAACUUUUUUUAGAGCUGGUAUAAGGAUUGAUCCAAAACUGAUGAGAUUUGCACGCUAACUUUUGGCUACCCCUUAAAGGCGUAAAAUUGACCCGUUAUUGAGAACCUCCACGAUCUGUCAAAUAACGGGUCAUUUUUUCGGGUCAAUAUUACCCUUUAUUUCAAAAAGCUCGAGUCCGCUUCAAAGGGGUAGAUUUAGAUGUUACAUUGAAAGCGUUAUUAUUUGUCCGGUCAUUGAUAUGGAAAAUUAACAGCACAGUUCCGCACGAGGACGGUAAAAAUUUGUAAGCCGAUGACUAAAACCGGAAACAUGGAUGUUGGAUGGUAAAUACAAAAUGGUGAAUAAAUUUAUUUAUUGUAAUUUUUGAAUAAACAAAAUGGAACAUGA